GACGAACGCUGGCGGCGUGCUUAACACAUGCAAGUCGAGCGAUGAAGCACCUUCGGGUGUGAAUUAGCGGCGAACGGGUGAGGAACACGUAAGAAAUCUGCCUUCAACACUGGGAUAACUCCGGGAAACCGGGGCUAAUACCGGAUAUGAAACCUGCGGGCAUCCGCGGGUUUGGAAAGUUUUUCGGUUGAAGAUGAUCUCGCGGCCUAUCAGCUUGUUGGUGAGGUAAUGGCUCACCAAGGCGACGACGGGUAGCCGGCCUGAGAGGGCAACCGGCCACACUGGGACUGAGACACGGCCCAGACUCCUACGGGAGGCAGCAGUGGGGAAUAUUGGGCAAUGGAGGAAACUCUGACCCAGCGACGCCGCGUGCGGGAUGAAGGCCUUCGGGUUGUAAACCGCUUUCAGCAGGGAAGAAGCGAAAGUGACGGUACCUGCAGAAGAAGCACCGGCUAACUAUGUGCCAGCCGCCGCGGUAA
rnacentral:rRNA from 1 species